UGGGGAAUUUUGGACAAUGGGCGAAAGCCUGAUCCAGCAAUGCCGCGUGUGUGAAGAAGGCCUUCGGGUUGUAAAGCACUUUUGUCCGGAAAGAAAUCCUUGGCUCUAAUACAGUCGGGGGAUGACGGUACCGGAAGAAUAAGCACCGGCUAACUACGUGCCAGCAGCCGCGGUAAUACGUAGGGUGCAAGCGUUAAUCGGAAUUACUGGGCGUAAAGCGUGCGCAGGCGGUUUGCUAAGACCGAUGUGAAAUCCCCGGGCUCAACCUGGGAACUGCAUUGGUGACUGGCAGGCUAGAGGUAUGGCAGAGGGGGGUAGAAUUCCACGUGUAGCAGUGAAAUGCGUAGAGAUGUGGAGGAAUACCGAUGGUGAAGGCAGCCCCCCUGGGCCAAUACUGACGCUCAUGCACGAAAGCGUGGGGAGCAAACAGGAUUAGAUACCCUGGUAGUCCACGCCCUAAAGCGAUGUCAACUAGUUGUUGGGGAUUCAUUUCCUUAGUAACGUAGCUAACGCGUGAAGUUGACCGCCUGGGGAGUACGGUCGCAAGAUUAAAACUCAAAGGAAUUGACGGGGUCAUA
rnacentral:rRNA from 1 species